UACGUAGGUGGCGAGCGUUGUCCGGAUUUACUGGGCGUAAAGAGCGCGCAGGCGGUCGAUCAAGUCGGAUGUGAAAGCCCCCGGCUCAACUGGGGAGGGUCAUUCGAUACUGGUCGACUCGAAGGCAGGAGAGGGAAGCGGAAUUCCCGGUGUAGUGGUGAAAUGCGUAGAUAUCGGAAGGAACGCCGGUGGCGAAAGCGACGGACUGGAUCUCUUCUGACGCUGAGGCGCGAAAGCCAGGGGAGCAAACGGG
rnacentral:rRNA from 1 species